UUGGAAGCCGCCCCUAGAUAUACCCAUCUAUUGUGGCAGCGAAGUCGCCACUAAUAAUUUUGAUUUUAAAAUGAAAGAUUACAAAAACAAACCCUAGACAAACGAGAAAAAACACCCCCAAAAUCAUUUUCUACAAUACACUUCUCAACAAAGUUCCAUCGGCUGCGAAAUUCUGGAUCCUCUAUCCCUUUGCUGUGACCGGCAAACUCAUCGACAAUUCCUUUACCGUUAUACGGACCAUCGGUGAUGAUUGCCGAGUUUAAGCAGAUAGUACCUGAUUUUAAGAAGCAAAUGCUGAUAUCAUCAGCAUUUACUGUAAGCAAUCUUCCACCAUUAAAUUAUAUUAUAGAAUAAAUUAGAAAAUGCCUUGGUUUGUUUGAAGCUCCCUUUAUUACAAUUGGUGUUGACUUCUGUUCACUUUUUAUUAAAAUUUGAACUUGAAAUCUGGUAAAUCAAGCAAUAUUUAAUUAUAGAUGUGAUUCAUUUCAGAUAGGAAAGAAAUUAUUGCCAAAUAUUGAAAUCUUGUAUCUACAUUCCAUGAAACAAUAGUCAAUAUGUAUAAUCAACUAAAGAUAAGAUAAUUUCUUUAUUUUUGUUUUAUUCUUUUUAAUAGUCUACAGAAUUUGAAACUUUGUCUGGCAAAUCGUAUGUUCAACCUUGCUUUUGUUCUUCUAGUUGGUGGGUUUAUUAAAUUUUGUGCUAGCUCUUAGUCUAUUGUAUUUGGGUGGAGAUGCACUUUAAUUUUUUUUGCCUCUUCCAUGAGUGUUUUCCUUUUCAUAUGCUUGACAAAGUACAAAUUUUUAACACAAAGUUACUCCUUGAUUUGAAUAUCUUGGCAUAAGUUUAUGAUUUGAGAGAGAUUGAUAUGCAGUUAAAGCUAUUUUAAAAAUGUACAACUGUAAAUUUAUUUUGCACAGUUAAGAAAUGGAAGGGCAGAUGCCAUGUGAUAACAGUUCUAGGUCAUUAUCAAAAUUAUGAUUUUUGACUUUGUCUCAAGUAAAAGAUGACAUUUUGUUGGUAACAUACCAAAAUAUAAUUUUUCUCUUUGUCCUAAGUGUAUUAAGCCUUUCAUUAAAUAGAAAUUGAAAUUUUCCUUUCCUUACGACAUAGUUAAGACUUUUCAUGUUUUUAACGACUUAGACGAGUUUUGAGAUAGGUUGACAUGUGAUUUCCUUCCUUUCCUUCUGAUUUUUAUUAAUUACCAUUUCCUUAUGACAUGUGACAUAGGAAAUUCAACCAUUUUCUUCUUGUAUCUUGUAGUUAGUUAUAGAAAAGUUGUUAGGCCAGGAGGAGUGCCUAUAUGAACUGACUAUGUCAAUGCAAUAUAAGUUGCAUAUGCCUUAUUAUCUACUCUGAGCUCAUGUUUGCUUAUGACCUUUUUUCCUUACAUAUUUAAAUAGAAGGAUAAAUCAUAUCACAACUAAUGCUAUUUGGCAUGAUUUCCGAUCUUAAACCAAAGAGAAAAUACUACUCUAGUAGAUUUCACUUUUUUAUGCAAAAUCCUUAUUACAGAGAAGUACUUAACAAACCAGAUUCAUAGGAAAACAUCUUGGGAAGUUACUGGUAUAUGCUAUUUUUUUCUUUAGUAUCAAAAUCUGUUAAUAAAAUUAUUUUCGUUCACUGAACACCAGAUAUGUUUCAGUAAGUUUCAUAAUACACAGUAAAAUUUAGCUUAAAUUUCUCGCUUACUCUGUUGUUGAUCACCAUAUAAAGGUUCCAUUGCUGACAAGAUAGCAUAGUGUGAGUUUAUAGCUUGAGAUAAGAACUAGAAGGAAAAUGUAAUUAAUGUUCCUUCUACUAGAUAUAACUGAAUAUGUGUCUGGAUCUUUUGGCUGCACAGACAAUUUUACGUUCAAAACUUAAUAUUACUCAUUCCAUUAGGCUUACAAUGAAAAUUCAAUCAAACUUGAAAAAGUCUUUUACACCUUCGGGAAAGCAUACCGGAAGACCCAACUUUCGCUUAAAAUGCCAGUUUGGAUGAGUGUGAAUUUUUUGAAAGACAUUCACUUGCCAUGGUUCUCUCUGAUUGUAGUAGACCUUUCCUUUUCAUAUGCUUUCCUUUAGUACUUGGCUUAAGAUCAACUCUUUUUUGUAUGCAUGCAUAUAUUACUGUUAUUCUUUAUUUUUUUAAUAGCAAGGAGAUAGUACUUCAACAAAAUUAAGUUGCUCAAGGAGUAGCCUGAAGACAUUAGAGUAACUUGAAGAUAUUGGAAUAGUUUGAAGACGUAUUCCUUUGGGUUUGUUUCUUAAAAUAGCGAAGGAUAAGGUUAUUCAAUAAGUAGGAGUUCGAACACAUUUGAUGUUAUUUUUUCCAUGUGUAUGUGCAGUGACAGUGUAUUAUAGAGCGUAAUGUACUUUGUUGCAGACUAUUUGGUAAUGAAAAGUUUCUAUACAGUUUUAUUUAAGAGUA